GAUGAACGCUGGCGGCGUGCCUAAUACAUGCAAGUCGAGCGAACGGACGAGAAGCUUGCUUUUCUGAUGUUAGCGGCGGACGGGUGAGUAACACGUGGAUAACCUACCUAUAGGACUGGGAUAACUUCGGGAAACCGGAGCUAAUACCGGAUAAUAUUUUGAACCGCAUGGUUCAUAAGUGAAAGACGGUCUUGCUGUCACUUAUAGAUGGAUCCGCGCUGCAUUAGCUAGUUGGUAAGGUAACGGCUUACCAAGGCAACGAUGCAUAGCCGACCUGAGAGGGUGAUCGGCCACACUGGAACUGAGACACGGUCCAGACUCCUACGGGAGGCAGCAGUAGGGAAUCUUCCGCAAUGGGCGAAAGCCUGACGGAGCAACGCCGCGUGAGUGAUGAAGGUCUUCGGAUCGUAAAACUCUGUUAUUAGGGAAGAACAUAUGUGUAAGUAACUGUGCACAUCUUGACGGUACCUAACCAGAAAGCCACGGCUAACUACGUG
rnacentral:rRNA from 1 species